CUAAAGAAGGAAAGAAAAAAACUGCAGCUAGAGGGGGUGGGUGAGUGCAUUUUACAAAUCAGCGUGCCUCUCGGUUGGUUUGUGUUUCAAAUGGCUAACAGUGAUUGGCUCAUGACCAGAACGGAGUCAACAGUCCACAAUUUGUCUCGACUCUUUCCUCGGACCCGUGAAAGGAGACGGAUAUUUUGCCAUGUCACUAGCUGGGCUUUCAACAGAGGAACUGUUACAAAAACUGAAAGAAGAUGGAAUUGACAUGACUGAGGCUGAAGCACAGCGGUUCAGAGAUAAUGAUGUGGACGGUGACACAGUUGACUGCGGUCUCACAGAGAGCAUGGUUGGAUUCCUGUUUCAAGGAUCUUUCAAGAAGCAGGUUAAAUUCAAUCACUUUGUGGUAAAGCAAAAAGAGUCAGUAAUUACACUGACUUUAGAGGAUGUCCCUCCAGACAAAUGGCAGGAUUUCACUCCUUCAGCAACAUCCAGCAGUCGAAAAGGUGUGAGACUUCCGGCUACUUUUGAGCUUCCAACAUUCCCUGGACAUCUGCAAACAAAACUUGAAAAGAAAGAGCCAUGUCAAAAAAAACCCAAAGGAUAGACACACAAUAAUCAGAGUCCUCUAUGAAGCUGUGUCACAGUAUACAAUGUAUCCCACAAAUGCAGAAUAUGUUCAAGCUGUAAAGACAUUAAUUUUAAAGUAUCCUUUCCUCAAGGACCUCGAGGGAAAUGGUUAUCACACAUGGCACAUGUCUGUGAAGCGUAAAUUCAAACUAGAGCGCGCACCCUUGUGUGACAACGAUGAAGUGAAACAUACUAAGGAGAAAUUUGGGCACAUGAAAUCCAAGCAACCAACUGAAUCUGCAAGAACAAGUCAGAGAAAUGGUUUUACGACACCAAAUGUUUUGGGUGAGGAUCCUUCCUCCAUUGAGGCUCACGUUAAGAUCCUGCACAGCCAGUAUCAGAAAGUGCAGCCAGACGCAAGGAUUGUACAGGAUCGCACGAUGCAAACCCUUGCAUGGCGAAGAAAGGAGAUUGCAGAUGGCGUGACUCUGGCUGACACUCUAAAGAAAUACCCUUUCUUAAGGACAUCUAAAGGACUCUGUGAUGAAAUAGAACGAAUCCAUCCAACAAUGGGAAAGGUGUGACAACGAUUCGAUGAAGGCUUUGUCUGCAUCGUCCCGAAAGUGCUUAACCUGGCUAAAGGGAAAUCUCCGUUAUACCCGGUCUACCUUGAGGCAAGAGAGGAGGCUCUCACUGAAGAGUUAGCAGGUGUUGACUUCAGAGCAGCCCUUAUAUUUCUCCCUUACAUCUUCAAGGAGAACAUCAACCUCUUUAUCACUCUUGGAGAGUGUGACCCUCCAUCUCCCUACCCAACAAUUCACCUGACCAGUCAAGACUGGAAAAUGGCCUUCACGAAGAGAGCGCCAAACAUUGUAAAAGCAGAUGAUGUUGAGGUAUGUCGCGCAGAAACAACUGAGGAAGGGAUCAUCUCUGCCUUCUGCGCAUACUUCGUCUUCAACCUGGCCUACCCAAGACACCUGAAGAACACACUGAUUUUCCUCCAGAGGUACAUUGCUAGAAUUGUUGAGGAUGGUGACAAACCUCUGCCAAUAACUGUUACCAGAAAAAUUAAUCUCCUUUAUUAACUCCAAUAUGCCACGUCCCUACCAGUGCUCCAAAUGCUCCAGGAGAGCAUUUACCUUGAUAAAACUAAUUCAUCACAUCGGACUUAUUCAUGCCCAUGAAGCCAACUUCAAUAUCAAAUGUGGACUAGAUGAUUGCCAGUCUACAUUUACCAAAUUUGAAUCAUUCCAGAGACAUGUGUAUCGAAAACAC